GACGAACGCUGGCGGCGUGCUUAACACAUGCAAGUCGAACGGUGAACGAGGGAGCUUGCUCCCUCCGGAUCAGUGGCGAACGGGUGAGUAACACGUGAGCAAUCUGCCCCGAACUCUGGGAUAAGCGUUGGAAACGACGUCUAAUACCGGAUACGACGCGGGAGGGCAUCCUCUCCGCGUGGAAAGAACUUCGGUUCGGGAUGAGCUCGCGUCCUAUCAGCUUGUUGGUGAGGUACCGGCUCACCAAGGCGACGACGGGUAGCCGGCCUGAGAGGGUGACCGGCCACACUGGGACUGAGACACGGCCCAGACUCCUACGGGAGGCAGCAGUGGGGAAUAUUGCACAAUGGGCGCAAGCCUGAUGCAGCAACGCCGCGUGAGGGACGACGGCCUUCGGGUUGUAAACCUCUUUUAGCAGGGAAGAAGCGAAAGUGACGGUACCUGCAGAAAAAGCACCGGCUAACUACGUG
rnacentral:rRNA from 1 species